rnacentral:rRNA from 1 species
GGAAUAUUGCACAAUGGGGGAAACCCUGAUGCAGCGACGCCGCGUGAGUGAAGAAGCGCCUCGGCGCGUAAAGCUCUGUCAGCAGGAACGAUAAUGACGGUACCUGAAGAAGAAGCCCCGGCUAACUACGUGCCAGCAGCCGCGGUAAUACGUAGGGGGCAAGCGUUAUCCGGAUUUACUGGGUGUAAAGGGAGCGUAGGCGGUUUAGCAAGUCAGAAGUGAAAGCCCGGGGCUCAACUCCGGGACUGCUUUUGAAACUGUUGAACUAGAUUGCAGGAGAGGUAAGUGGAAUUCCUAGUGUAGCGGUGAAAUGCGUAGAUAUUAGGAGGAACACCAGUGGCGAAGGCGGCUUACUGGACUGUAAAUGACGCUGAGGCUCGAAAGCGUGGGGAGCAAACAG